GAGCUGAGAUUUGCUUCAAAGACAUGG
rnacentral:piRNA from 1 species